UAACUUUAUUUUACACACUAUAAUGAAAAUACCAAGCACAGCUCUGAAGAGGGCUUAGAAGAAAGUUUAUGAUGAAAUAAAAACAUUACAUCAACCUGGAAACAUCUUCAUAAAAUCAAAUUCUCCUGGUAUACAAGAAGCACAGCAUGCUAUUUAAAACCAUACUACAGCUUCGUAAGGGAAGAAAAAGGGCAAGGAGUACAAAGUCCUUCAUUAAAAGGAAACCCUUGUAAAACCUGUGCUAUGCUGCCCUGCAACAUACUUCAGAGAACAAUGAUACAUUCCCAACAAGAUAAAUACCAACCUGUUUUUCAAAGUCAGCAUAUCUAUAACUUCACUGAAGGGAGCCAUUACUCAGAAGCUUUCCAAGAGAAAUGUGUUCUUUAAAAUCUCCUCUCUUAAAACUGUAAGUCUACAAAAUCAUGACUACACUCAGCAAAAACAAAACUCCGUUACAGGAUACGAGGAGGAUGUAUCAUUGGGACUGCUCGAUUGAACUGUUUUCUGCAUUCCACUAAAGGACAAACACAGACAAAUGGCAUCAGGGUAAUAUUUCCAGUUCUCCAUCACACGGGAGUACUGAAUAUGAUGUUGCAAAAUUAAUGCAAACGUUAUUUUGAAGCCUUGAAAGUCAAGUCACAACUUGUCUAUUUUAUAUUGGAAAGAAAUAAAUCAAGACCAAAGGGCAAAUUUUGUGUUUCAGAAAAUCCAAUUUUACCCUGCAGUACAUUCUUCAAUUGCAACAACACUCCUGAAAAGGGAUGAACUCAAAGGGCCACAUACCCUCGAAUCCUGUAGUGGCGCUCACAUUAUUGCGUAUGGAAGAUGCACAAGGGAAGAGAAGUAUGUAGCUUUAAGUAUGUUGGUAGAGUUAGUUCAAGAAAAGCAAGGAUAUGAAGAAAAAUAAGACAAACUAU